rnacentral:tRNA from 1 species
CAAGGAAGAGCUUAAAAGCGUUUUAUUUACACUAAAAAGUUAAUUGUGAUCGAUUUUUCUUGA